rnacentral:tRNA from 1 species
AGGUAGUUAUUUUAAUUAAAAUAUUUGAUUUCGGCUCAAAAGCUAGCAGUUAAAGCCCGCUAUUACCUA